AUUGAACGCUGGCGGCAGGCCUAACACAUGCAAGUAGAACGAGUGGCGGACGGGAGAGUAAUGUCUGGGAAACUGCCAGAUGGAGGGGGAUAAGUACUGGAAACGGUAGCUACUAACGCAUACAAUAGGAUGUGUCCCGGUGGGAAUAGCUAGAAGGUGGGGUAACGGCUGACCUAGGCGACGAUCCCAAGCUGGUCUGAGAGGAUGACCAGCCACACUGGAACUGAGACACGGUCCAGACUCCUACGGGAGGCAGCAGUGGGGAAUAUUGCACAAUGGGCGCAAGCCUGAUGCAGCCAUGCCGCGUGUAUGAAGUAGGCCUUCGGGUUGUAAAGUACUUUCAGCGAGGAGGCGUUACUCGCAGAAGAAGCACCGGCUAACUCCGUGCCAGCAGCCGCGGUAAUAC
rnacentral:rRNA from 1 species